rnacentral:lncRNA from 1 species
UGAGUCUGCUGAUGGGUUCCUGUUUGUGUGCACUUAGAAGGAGACUGGGAUCAAAUGUCACUGCUGGAAGAGGAUGGGAGGGAGACUGAGCAGAAGACAAGAGGAAGUGGUAGGACUCUGGGUAUCAAAGGCUCUCUUUACAGCUCAGGAAGAAUUGCAGGAGGAGAAACUGGGUUGUUUGAACUAAGGAAUCCUAUCUGUACUGGAGCCUGGUCUCCUCCGUGAACACCAAGUUUUGAACACCAAGACAUCUGGCUGCUGGGAUACAGUCUAGCGCUGCCUGUUAUCUUUGCUGGAGAACUCUGAUGACUUGUCACAAGAGGAUGAGAGCACUAAAAGCCCUGAAGCUUUGGAUGUCAGUGAAAACAAAAAGGAGAGAAAAAGCACCAGGAGUUUUCUCU